AAAUGCCUCAGUUGAUGAUCCAACAUUCAAUGUACUGUGGCAGAAAAUCAGGAUUGCUAUCCUAGCACUUGCACCUGGGACAAGUUAUAAUAUCUAUGCAACUUCCAUCAACCAAUUGAAAGCUGAGUGCAUGGAUCCAGCUGCUGAGGCUCACUAUAAAAAAUUACUGAGUGAUUGGAAGAAAGAUGAUGAUAGUUUGAAGGAGAUGCUUGAGGAAGUGAAAGAAAAACAACAGAAAACCUGGAAUGAGCUUGGAGAGAUGAAAGAAAAUCAAGGGAGAACCCAUGACAAGCUU